UUUUGUAGUUAAUCUAAUUACCCAACAUUCUUUAUGGGCCUAUUUACAACAUCGAAAUGUCAUAUAAUGUGGACAUAGUACUAAGUUUAUUCACCGUCAUAACCCGGUUGUUAUUCUUGUGGUCAUCCGCGGUACAGAACAGGGAUGAUGAAACCAUCGUUGUAUUCAGAAAGCGCUAACAUGUUCUGAUAUGUACGAUCAAAUAGAUCAAGUCAAGUAGAUUAUCUCUGCCCGUUCACAAACAACAUUCUAAAAUCUAAAGAGGGGCUAAUACAUUAGAAAUAAGCCAACCAAAUAUUUGUUUGGGACAAUUUCUUUUAGUUCUAACAGAGACAAUCCAGGAUCAUUCCUCCUUGCGUUCGAUUUUCUUCCUGUUUACCCUGGUUGCCAUGGGCACGGGUUCCACACAGAUGACAAGUUCCAGUCCGUGAACUAGGUCUGACGUUCUGACAAGUCGAGAAUUUGCGACAGUUUGUUUUCUGAACUUCCGAAGUGUACGCGACUGUGUCGACGUGAGGAAAGAUGACAUCGUUGUCAAAAGAAGAUGGGAGAACUGUUGAGCGAAAGAUGAAGCAGAGUCAGGGAGGAGAAGCAGCAACCUCCUUUAGCCAGUAAGAAACUGUUUAGUCAGUUUAUGAUGUCGUUAUGAUGAUGAUGAUUUCAGAAGUAGCAAGUGUUCACAACAAUCAGAAAAAAACAAUGGGGAGGGAUGACCAAAUACAUAUAUUUCAGCCCACACCAAUACAAUUUUUACAGUUACUCAAGCAACUUGAUAGAAUUUAGAAACAGAUGUUUCAGACAGUCUAUUGUAAGUGAAUGGAAGAGAAUCUGUAACAUAUCAAUUCAGAUUUUAGCUUUAAAUCCUGAUUCUCCAGUAACUCCAGAUACACUGACUGGAGAUAGCAGAAUACUGUCUGAAACAUCUGACCAUUUCU